rnacentral:rRNA from 1 species
UACGUAGGGGGCCAGCGUUGCUCGGAAUUACUGGGCGUAAAGGGUUCGUAGGUGGUGCGGCAAGUUGGGAGUGAAAUCUCUGGGCUUAACUCAGAGGCUGCUUUCAAAACUGCCGUGCUCGAGUGCGAGAGAGGCCAGUGGAAUUGCAGGUGUAGCGGUGAAAUGCGUAGAUAUCUGCAGGAACACCCGUGGCGAAGGCGGCUGGCUGGAUCGCAACUGACACUGAGGAACGAAAGCUAGGGGAGCAAACAGG